AAUAGAUACCCGGGUAGUCCACGCCAUAAACGAUGGAUGCUAGUUUUUACCCAUAUCGACCUGGGUAGAAACGAAGUUAACGCGUUAAGCAUCCCGCCUGGGGAAUACGAGCGCAAGCUUAAAACUCAAAGGAAUUGACGGGGACCAGCACAAGCGGUGGAGCGUGUUCUUUAAUUCGAGUCUAAGCGAAGAACCUUACCAGGGCUUGACAUCCUUGGAAUUUCUCCGAAAGGAGAGAGUACUUUAUUGGACCAAGUGACAGGUGCUGCAUGGCCGUCGUCAGCUCGUGUCGUGAGAUGUUUGGUUAAGUCCAUUAACGAGCGCAACCCUUAUGAAUAGUUGUAUUUUUCUAUUCAGACUGCCCCGGUAACGGGGAGGAAGGGGGGAUGAUGUCAGGUCAGUAUUGCCCUUACGCCCUGGGCUAGAAACGCGCUACAAUGGCCGGUACAAUGCGCUGCCAACCCGCGAGGGGGAGCAAAUCGCAUCAAAGCCGGUCCCAGUUCGGAUAAGAGGCUGAAACUCGCCUCUUGAAGCCGGAAUCGCUAGUAAUCGUAGGUC
rnacentral:rRNA from 1 species